UGAUCCUAGCUAGGGAGUUGUUAGGCCAAACUUAAAUGUCUCCAACUUCAUAGGACCUGUGAGAGUUUGUGCUUGAAUAGCCUUUAAAAACACUUCAAAGUGACUCUGACACAAUGUGGACUCCAUGGGGAACUCAAGCAGGAGGAAAGGUUAUGUUUAAAAAGUCCCCUGCCUCCUUGUGACUACAAAUACUCCUCUCUACAUUGGAACCUGGAAUUGAAUAAUAUGCAAUGGAAUUGCCAAACAUCACUUGGACCUGUGCCCAGUAUUACCUCAAGAGUCUUCUGUAAUAUCUUUUUGAUGAUGGAGUCAGAAAUAAACCACUGGAACCUUGUGUAAAAGAAAGCUAAACUUUUCAGGCCACCAGUGAUUCAAUUUCACAAAAGCAUCUUUGGUAUUUGCAUAUACAGAUUGAAUUAUUUAUAAUUAACUUCCCAAAUCAUGUACUCCAACAGCCUUCUAAUUCCCUUGGUCUUCUGCCUCAUUGAAAAGUUCAGUCACAUUUGACAACUCCAAUCUGGCAUUUUAAAUGUGACAAGCCUAGCCACUACACUCAUUCUUCAAAUGACUUAGGCAAAGUGACACUCACUAAAACCUUCCACC
rnacentral:lncRNA from 1 species